rnacentral:lncRNA from 1 species
UCAUACAUUGUUUCUAAGAUGUAGAAAUUGUAUUUCCUCACAAGAGUGGAUCAAGAAACUUGACAUUGGAUAAACCGAAAGAUACAGGAAAAGAAGUUUCAGCAUGGUCUCACAUUGUAUCUCGGGACUCCAGUGAUUCCUGGAAGAAUGAGAAUGCCAUGAAAUGCAAAGAUUUUCUUCCAAUUAAAGCAAGGAGGGAAGCCUGGACAAAAAAAUCAGGUAAUUUUUGCAGUACAAUUUUCUGCAAAGAACUAUAAUGAACAUCUAAGAUGCUAGUGGACUUUACACUCAUUUCUUUUUUAAUAAAAUAUUUUGAGGGAAUUUGGCCCA